GCCGAUAGCCGAGUGGUCUAAGUCGAAGACUUUAUAAUCCUGGACUCCAGGGGUCAGUGGUUCGAGCCCAGUUGACGGUU
rnacentral:tRNA from 1 species